UUCCCUACUUUCACCUUUACUUGCAAGAAUGAAACAAAAAAAAGCACAAUCUCCCCCCAUCUCAUUGUUACAUAAGAACUGAGACAAACAUCAUAAGAUCUCUGCCAAGCUUUUUCCAUUUUCUUACGUCUCUCUCUUCCUUUCCUCUCUUCACUACAUAGAUUCUGGACAAAUGCCUAUGAAUAACACAGACGGAAUUCCUGCCUGCAGCAAAUCUCUCCUUCUGGGGGAGAUGGCCAGUGAAUGAGUCAAAUAAAGCAAUGAGGAAAGAGAGCAGUUGUUUCCCGGCCUUACUGUUGGCCAGCAUCACCUAUGAAGGUCAAGGAGUCGGUGCAGUCACCUGAGUCAUUCUAUAUCAAGACUUUUGCAAAGUACUUCUCAUGUCUCUAGAAGAAAAUAUAAUCAGCGUCCAUGUUGUGCUCCAUCCUUACACUACUUUCGGGGAAACGAAGAGAAGGUGACUAUCAAGAUCACGUUUCCUUCUGUGUUCAUCGACUGUGAACAGAGUUGACGCUGGCAGAAUGAAGCUCGGCUUUAUUCUUGAUCUCCCCACACCAGACUCAACGUCACUUCAGUCGGCACUUUUAUUACCUUGAAAUGACUCCAGCACUUCAACAGGGAUCAUUAUUAGCAGAAACAAGCUAGCAGGUGUUCUUGGGGAAGGUAUAAAAACACUAGGGAAGGAACACAGCGUCACGGAAGGCAAUGGAGUUUCCCGAGUGAAUACUGAAUACACAAUGCCUCGAGAAGAGGGAGAGUGCCAGAAGCUAGG
rnacentral:lncRNA from 1 species